rnacentral:lncRNA from 15 species
UCCACCCAAAUUACGGGCAAAAGCAUUUUCUCACUUCUGUCUUUUGGUGUCCAGCCACGAAGCUUAAUUAGUCCAAGUAAAAGAACUAACGUUAUCCCUCCAUUUAACUGGCUUUACUGUUACACCAUUGAUAACGACAAUCUGGAUAAUCUUCAGACCUUGCUGUGGACAGUUUUCACAGGGACUAUUUCUUCAGUUAAAGUACUUCCAAAGCAAAUUGUUCCAUUUAACGUUAGUUAAAAAAAAAUGUCAGUGCCAGGUGCUACAGAGACAACACUUCAUUCAUUUCUCUUCUUUUACUGUAGUGGAAGCAGAAAUCUCAAAUCAAACCACUGUCUCCAUGGUUAAGAUAAGCUAAGAGAGAAAAUACGUGUUGUAAUCUGGGUGAAAACACAUUUAAUAGUAACCAAAGUCACAUUACCUGCCAGGCGGUGGCGCUACAGGUGUCCUUCUUAACGUUACUUUUAAUGGCAGCCACAACAUUCUGAGGCUGAUCGCUUCACAGUUUAAAGCUGCAGUAGCUAAUUUCUAUAAAACUAACUUUUUGUCAUAUUUACUGAAACGUUCACCAUAUCCUGACAGUAGAACAUGAUACAGAUAAUCUGUAAAAACAGCAGCUUCCUCGGGCUCCUCGUAGUGCUCUGAUUGGCAAUGCAUUGGUUAAAAUACAGAACAUUGAGCCUCAGUACUGUUUUAUCCAUAGCACUCGACAUCUAAUGAUGUACGGUACCAAACACUGGCUUUAGAAAAGUGGUCAGAUUCGACAUCUUGUUCAUUUAUUUGAUCAAAAGGUUUUAAAUUUAAGUCAAACUUUAUCAAAUUUUAAACAGUUUUAUUGACGCAGAUUUAUUUUAUGACUUCUUGUGUUUAAGCAACAUUUCUGUGGUACAUCUACUAAAAGUGUUGUAUUUCACAGCCCUGCAGAAGCAGAAUAACAAUUUCAUCCACUCUUCAGUGGCACACACAUAGAGCCACAUGUAGCCUACAUAACUGAAGAGGAAGUUCACCAAAUAUAGCAUUAUUUGAUAUGUUAAGCUCCCUCAAAGCCAACGUCAUAUUUGAA